rnacentral:rRNA from 1 species
AUACGGUAUACCUUGUUACAGACUAUAUUCCACAAUCGCCAGUCCACACCUUCGACAGCUCCUUCCCACAAGGGGUUAGGCCACCGGCUUUCGGGUGUUACCAACUUUCGUGGACUUGACGGCCGGUGUGUCACAAGGCCCGGGAACACGUAUUCACCGCAAGCGUUGCUGAUCUGCGAUUACUAGCGACUCCGACUUCAUGGGGUCGAGUUGCAGAACCCCAAUCCGAACUGAAACCGGCUUUUGGGGAUUAGCUCCACCUAACAGUAUCGCAACCCUUUGUACCGGCCAUUGUAGCAUGCGUGAAGCCCAAGACAUAGGGGGCAUGAUGAUUUGACGUCGUCCCCACCUUCCUCCGAGUUGACCCCGGCAGUCUCCUAUGAGUCCCACCAUACGUGCUGGCACAUAGACGAGGGUUGCGCUCGUUGCGGGACUAACCAACAUCUACGACCGACUGCGACACCAUGCCCACUUGUAACCGACCGAAGCGGGGCACUGUUCAGGUUACGGUAUGAACCUGGAGGUUUCGGUGAUCAAUAUCGAUGCUCGCUUGCGCC